AGUGAACGCUGGCGGUAGGCCUAACACAUGCAAGUCGAACGGCAGCACAGUAAGAGCUUGCUCUUACGGGUGGCGAGUGGCGGACGGGUGAGGAAUACAUCGGAAUCUACUUUUUCGUGGGGGAUAACGUAGGGAAACUUACGCUAAUACCGCAUACGACCUACGGGUGAAAGCAGGGGAUCUUCGGACCUUGCGCGAUUGAAUGCGCCGAUGUCGGAUUAGCUAGUUGGCGGGGUAAAGGCCCAGCAAGGCGACGAUCCGUAGCUGGUCUGAGAGGAUGAUCGGCGACACUGGAACGGCGACACGGUCCAGACGCCUACGGGAGGCACCAGUGGGGAAUAUUAGACAAUGGUCGCAAGCCUGACACAACCAUACCGCGUGGGUGAAGAAGGCCUUCGGGUUGUAAAGCCCUCUUGUUGGGAGAGAAAAGCAGCAGGUUAAUACCCCGCUGUUCUGACGGUACCCAAAGAAUAAGCACCGGCUAGCUUCGUG
rnacentral:rRNA from 1 species